rnacentral:rRNA from 1 species
GAGUUUGAUCCUGGCUCAGAAUGAACGCUAGCGAAAUGCUUCACACAUGCAAGGCUCCUUUUCUCCAUUUCCGGUAGCCGCACGGGUGGCUAAAUAACGUGGGAAUCUGCCGAAGCGGUAAAGCACGUAAUGUGGUGGAACCUGCCUUCGAUGAGCCCGCGGAGUAUCAGGUAGUUGGUCAGGUAACGGCUGACCAAGCCAAUGACGCUUAGCUGGUCUGCGAGGAUGAUCAGCCACACUGGUAACUGAGACACGGCCCAGACUCUCCAUGAUGCUGCAGUGGGGAAUCUUGGACAAUGGGCGGAUGCUGCCUGAUCCAGCCAUUUGCAUUGCGCGUGGGAUAGGAAGGGUGGAGCUCGUAUAACCCUUUCGGCAUCGGAUCUAGCUAUUCCCCCCAUGAAACCUGCUUCCCGAUCUUCUAUAUUCUCGAUGAAAACCCAUGGUAAGAAGCCCCGGCGUAACUCCCGUGCCAGCAGCCGCGGUAAGACGGGGGGGGCAAGUGUUCUUCGGAAUUACUGGGCGUAAAGGGCACGUAGGCGGUGAUCACAUUCCAGCCAGUGAUGCAUGCACCAUCCGAUACUUGGGAUUCGCAUUAGUGUUGACCAUGCCUUUCCGGGAUUGAAUAAGCUUAGGGGCAUCUGCCUACUUUCGAUUCAUGGUUGGUCCCAUUCGAAAACACCUG